GAUAAACGCUAGCGGCAGGCUUAAUACAUGCAAGUCGAGGGACAGCACAGGUAGCAAUACUGGGUGGUAACCGGCAAACGGGUGCGGAACACGUACACAACCUUCCUUUAAGUGGGGGAUAGCCCAGAGAAAUUUGGAUUAAUACCCCGUAAUAUAGUUGAAUGGCAUCAUUUGAUUAUUAUAGCUACGGCGCUUAAUGAUGGGUGUGCGGCUGAUUAGAUAGUUGGCGGGAUAACGGCCCACCAAGUCUACGAGCAGUAGCUGAUGUGAGAGAAGGAUCAGCAACACGGGCACAGAGACACAGGCCCGACACCGACGGGAGGCAGCAGUAAGGAAUAUUGGUUAAUGGACGCAAGUCUGAACCAGCCAUGCCGCGUGAAGGAUUAAGGUCCUCUGGAUUGUAAACUUCUUUUAUUUGGGACGAAAAAGGGCCUUUCUAGGUCAACUGACGGUACCAGAUGAAUAAGCACCGGCUAACUCCGUGCCAGCAGCCGCAGUAAAAC
rnacentral:rRNA from 1 species